rnacentral:rRNA from 1 species
ACGGGAGGCAGCAGUGGGGAAUAUUGGGCAAUGGGCGCAAGCCUGACCCAGCAACGCCGCGUGAAGGAAGAAGGCUUUCGGAUUGUAAACUUCUUUUAUGAGGGACGAAGGACGUGACGGUACCUCAUGAAUAAGCCACGGCUAACUACGUGCCAGCAGCCGCGGUAAUACGUAGGUGGCAAGCGUUAUCCGGAUUUACUGGGUGUAAAGGGCGCGUAGGCGGGGAUGCAAGUCAGAUGUGAAAUCUAUGGGCUUAACUCAUAAACUGCAUUUGAAACUGUAUCUCUUGAGUGCUGGAGAGGUAGACGGAAUUCCUUGUGUAGCGGUGAAAUGCGUAGAUAUAAGGAAGAACACCAGUGGCGAAGGCGGUCUACUGAACAGUAACUGACGCUGAGGCGCGAAAGCGUGGGGAGCAAACAGGAUUAGAUACCCUGGUA